rnacentral:rRNA from 1 species
GACGAACGCUGGCGGCGUGCCUAAUAACUGCAAGUCGAACUUAGUGGCGCACGGGUGAGUAACACGUGGGUAACCUGCCCAUCAGAAGGGGAUAACACUUGGAAACAGGUGCUAAUACCGUAUAGUGAUGGAUGGACCCGCGGUGAAUUAGAUAGUUGGUGAGGUAACGGCUCACCAAGUCCACGAUGCAUAGCCGACCUGGUAGGGUGAUCGGCCACACUGGGACUGAGACACGGCCCAAACUCCUACGGGAGGAAGCAGUAGGGAAUCUUCGGCAAUGGACGAAAGUCUGACCGAGCAACGCCGCGUGAGUGAAGAAGGUUUUCGGAUCGUAAAACUCUGUUGUUAGAGAAGCGGUAUCUAACCAGAAAGCCACGGCUAACUACGUGCCAGCAGCCGCGGUAAUAC